rnacentral:lncRNA from 1 species
CUCUUCCCAAACCUGGUGUUUUCGAAAGCGAAAGUUGGAGUGAUCUGCUCAGCUCCUGGUGGGUUUGCAAACCUGCCUCAGCUUCUCCCGACCCCAGUUAAACAUCCGUAUAGCUACAAAUCUGAGGGUAUUUGAUCAGUGCCAAGGCUGUGGCUCCGCUGUAUCGGACGUUACACAAAGAAAAGAGGGCUUUCGAAUCCCACUUCAGUAACUCGACCCCAAGAUUUUCUCUGUUCUGCUGGAUCACUUUGGUGGCGUUUGCUAGACACAGCUGAAGGUCGAACAUACCUGAGAAGACAAGGUGAAACG